rnacentral:rRNA from 1 species
UUNUGAACUGGGUGACUAGAGUGUGUCAGAGGGAGGUAGAAUUCCACGUGUAGCAGUGAAAUGCGUAGAGAUGUGGAGGAAUACCGAUGGCGAAGGCAGCCUCCUGGGAUAACACUGACGUUCAUGCCCGAAAGCGUGGGUAGCAAACAGGAUUAGAUACCCUGGUAGUCCACGCCCUAAACGAUGUCGAUUAGCUGUUGGGCAGCAUGACUGCUUAGUAGCGAAGCUAACGCGUGAAAUCGACCGCCUGGGGAGUACGGUCGCAAGAUUAAAACUCAAAGGAAUUGACGGGGACCCGCACAAGCGGUGGAUGAUGUGGAUUAAUUCGAUGCAACGCGAAGAACCUUACCUGGUCUUGACAUGUACGGAACCCUCCAGAGACGGAGGAGUGCCUUCGGGAGCCGUAACACAGGUGCUGCAUGGCUGUCGUCAGCUCGUGUCGUGAGAUGUUGGGUUNNNNNNNNCAACGAGCGCAACCCUUGUCAUUAGUUGCCAUCAUUAAGUUGGGCACUCUAAUGAGACUGCCGGUGACAAGCCGGAGGAAGGUGGGGAUGACGUCAAGUCCUCAUGGCCCUUAUGACCAGGGCUUCACACGUCAUACAAUGGUCGGUACAGAGGGUAGCCAAGCCGCGAGGCGGAGCCAAUCUCACAAAACUGAUCGUAGUCCGGAUUGCACUCUGCAACUCGAGUGCAUGAAGUCGGAAUCGCUAGUAAUCGCAGGUCAGCAUACUGCGGUGAAUACGUUCCCGGGUCU